AACGAACGCUGGCGGCAUGCCUAACACAUGCAAGUCGAACGAGACCUUCGGGUCUAGUGGCGCACGGGUGCGUAACGCGUGGGAACCUGCCCUUAGGUUCGGAAUAACUCCCCGAAAGGGGUGCUAAUACCGGAUAAUGUCUUCGGACCAAAGAUUUAUCGCCUUUGGUUGGGCCCGCGUUGGAUUAGCUAGUUGGUAGGGUAAAAGCCUACCAAGGCGACGAUCCAUAGCUGGUCUGAGAGGAUGAUCAGCCACACUGGGACUGAGACACGGCCCAGACUCCUACGGGAGGCAGCAGCGGGGAAUAUUGGACAAUGGGCGAAAGCCUGAUCCAGCAAUGCCGCGUGAGUGAUGAAGGCCUUAGGGUUGUAAAGCUCUUUUACCCGGGAUGAUAAUGACAGUACCGGGAGAAUAAGCUCCGGCUAACUCCGUG
rnacentral:rRNA from 1 species